AGUGAACGCUGGCGGUAGGCCUAACACAUGCAAGUCGAACGGCAGCACAGUAAGAUCUUGCUCUUACGGGUGGCGAGUGGCGGACGGGUGAGGAAUACAUCGGAAUCUACUUUUUCGUGGGGGAUAACGUAGGGAAACUUACGCUAAUACCGCAUACGACCUACGGGUGAAAUCAGGGGAUCUUCGGACCUUGCGCGAUUGAAUGAGCCGAUGUCGGAUUAGCUAGUUGGCUGGGUAAGGGCCCACCAAGGCGACGAUCCGUAGCUGGUCUGAGAGGAUGAUCAGCCACACGGGAACUGAGACACGGUCCAGACUCCUACGGGAGGCAGCAGUGGGGAAUAUUGGACAAUGGGCGCAAGCCUGAUCCAGCCAGACCGCGUGGGUGAAGAAGGCCUUCGGGUUGUAAAGCCCUUUUGUUGGGAAAGAAAAGCAGCAGGUUAAUACCCCGCUGUUCUGACGGUACCCAAAGAAUAAGCAACGGCUAACUUCGUG
rnacentral:rRNA from 1 species